rnacentral:rRNA from 1 species
AGGCACCACGGUGCUGAAGCAACAAAUGCCCUGCUUCCAGGAAAAGCCUCUAAGCCUCAGGUAACAUCAAAUCGUACCCCAAACCGACACAGGUGGUCAGGUAGAGAAUACCAAGGCGCUUGAGAGAACUCGGGUGAAGGAACUAGGCAAAAUGGUGCCGUAACUUCGGGAGAAGGCACGCUGACACGUAGGUGAAGUGGUUUACCCAUGGAGCUGAAGUCAGUCGAAGAUACCAGCUGGCUGCAACUGUUUAUUAAAAACACAGCACUGUGCAAACACGAAAGUGGACGUAUACGGUGUGACGCCUGCCCGGUGCCGGAAGGUUAAUUGAUGGGGUCAGCGCAAGCGAAGCUCCUGAUCGAAGCCCCGGUAAACGGCGGCCGUAACUAUAACGGUCCUAAGGUAGCGAAAUUCCUUGUCGGGUAAGUUCCGACCUGCACGAAUGGCGUAAUGAUGGCCAGGCUGUCUCCACCCGGGACUCAGUGAAAUUGAACUCGCUGUGAAGAUGCAGUGUACCCGCGGCAAGACGGAAAGACCCCGUGAACCUUUACUAUAGCUUGACACUGAACACUGGUCCUUGAUGUGCAGGAUAGGUGGGAGGCUUUGAAGUGUGGACGCCAGUCUGCAUGGAGCCAUCCUUGAAAUACCACCCUUUAAUGGCUGGUGUUCUAACGUGGGCCCGUGAACCGGGUUGCGGACAGUGUCUGGUGGGUAGUUUGACUGGGGCGGUCUCCUCCUAAAGAGUAACGGAGGAGCACGAAGGUUGGCUAAUCCUGGUCGGACAUCAGGAGGUUAGUGCAAUGGCAUAAGCCAGCUUGACUGCGAGCGUGACGGCGCGAGCAGGUGCGAAAGCAGGUCAUAGUGAUCCGGUGGUUCUGAAUGGAAGGGCCAUCGCUCAACGGAUAAAAGGUACUCCGGGGAUAACAGGCUGAUACCGCCCAAGAGUUCAUAUCGACGGCGGUGUUUGGCACCUCGAUGUCGGCUCAUCACAUCCUGGGGCUGAAGUAGGUCCCAAGGGUAUGGCUGUUCGCCAUUUAAAGUGGUACGCGAGCUGGGUUUAGAACGUCGUGAGACAGUUCGGUCCCUAUCUGCCGUGGGCGCUGGAAGAUUGAGGGGGGCUGCUCCUAGUACGAGAGGACCGGAGUGGACGCAUCACUGGUGUUCGGGUUGUCAUGCCAAUGGCACUGCCCGGUAGCUACAUGCGGAAGAGAUAAGUGCUGAAAGCAUCUAAGCACGAAACUUGCCCCGAGAUGAAUCUUCCCUGAGCCUUUAAGGCUCCUGAAGGAACGUUGAAGACGACGACGUUGAUAGGCCGGGUGUGUAAGCGCAGCGAUGCGUUGAGCUAACCGGUACUAAUGAACCGUGAGGCUUAACCUUACA